rfam:Bulbul coronavirus HKT11-934, complete genome
GAGUAACGGGUUCUAGUGGUGCCCGACUAGAACCCCAACAGCCAGGCGUUACACCUGAUGCUGUUAAACGGGCAUUUC